rnacentral:rRNA from 1 species
UGCGGAGGAUGCAAGCGUUAUCCGGAUUUAUUGGGUUUAAAGGGUGCGCAGGUUGUUUGAUAAGUCAGUGGUGAAAGUCUGUCGCUUAACGGUAGGACUGCCAUUGAUACUGUUAGACUUGAAUAUGGAUGAGGUAGGCGGAAUGUGUAGUGUAGCGGUGAAAUGCAUAGAUAUUACACAGAACACCGAUUGCGAAGGCAGCUUACUAAUCCAUCAUUGACGCUGAGGCACGAAAGCGUGGGGAUCAAA